UCAGUAAAUGAGAAAGAUCACAACUGUUGUCUGCCCAGCCCUGGGGCAGUGUGAGACAAAACAAGAAAGAUAUUCUUUUAGCAAUUGCUUCCCAUGUCAAUGCACAUAAAGGAGUUUUCAUUUAGUUUGUUGGAGAACAGCAUCUUCUGCCGAGAGGAAACUAAUGCAGAAAAGGAAAUGCACUAGAAGCUAGAUUUGUUAAUAGCAUUUUCGGACCCAUUAUGAAAUAUUUCAAAUUUGGUAGCUUGUCAGAAGAGUUUACGUCAGCAUUUUGAAGGAGGAUAAUGAGAUUGCUUGAAGUCACCAGAGGUGCUCCCAGGAGAUGAAGGCUAGAAAAAAGAACAAAAGUGAAAAUCAAUC